rnacentral:rRNA from 1 species
GUUGACCUCGGAUCAGGUAGGGAUACCCGCUGAACUUAAGCAUAUCAAUAAGCGGAGGAAAAGAAACCAACAGGGAUUGCUCUAGUAACGGCGAGUGAAGCAGCAAUAGCUCAAAUUUGAAAUCUGGCGUCUUCGACGUCCGAGUUGUAAUUUGUAGAGGAUGCUUCUGAGUAACCACCGACCUAAGUUCCUUGGAACAGGACGUCAUAGAGGGUGAGAAUCCCGUAUGCGGUCGGAAAGGUGCUCUACACGUAGCUCCUUCGACGAGUCGAGUUGUUUGGGAAUGCAGCUCUAAAUGGGAGGU